UGGUCCAAUUAUCACAUCUCCUGCAUUGCGGCUCUGGUCCCCCAGUUGUGUGAUCUGCACCUCAAUACGAAAUUUGAGGCUGGCCCACUGGAAAUCCUUCUUGAGACUUUGAGCCUCAGGAAUGCCAAGUCGGUCCUUUCGUAUGAAUUGCGUGAAUUUAUUGUUACAUAUUGACAAGGUAUCAUGAAAUUGUAAUUAUUCAGGUGAAGUCACAAGGUGUCUCUUCGGUUUUGGCUGAGAAAAUGUCGUCUAUCUUUGACCACUCGAGCAAUGUGCACAAGAAUGGAUGCAAUCUCCUGGUGAAGAUGUUUUCUUUUUCUCGCCCGCUCCUGCGUUUUGGACCGUAUGCGGCGGCCCGUGGGGCUUGCAGGCUGUCCGACGACUCGGCUUUGUGAGGAAAUUUCCAAGCCAAGACCAAGCAUGAUAGGACUAAUUGGAAUCGUCGUCAACUCCAACAUGAAUGGAGACCCCUCAAAAGCCUCAAUCGAAUAGCUAAAGGAGUUACUGUUACAAACUUCUUAAUGUUACCGGAGACGCAGGGAGAAUG
rnacentral:sRNA from 1 species